UUAUGAAACGUUCAUUGUUUCGGCUUUUGUUUGAGUAUUUUCUGUAAUUGCAAAAUGUUUUAAUUUGUGUCUUGAAAUGUUCAAGUGUUUUGCACUUUAUAAACCGUUGCUUUAGAGAAGAGAAUGUUAAGAAAACAGAAGUGUCAACGUGCGUGUGCUAAUAAAGUGUGGCGGUUCAAAGUGUCAUCAGCUGCUUGGCGUGACAACAACUUCAAUGGCGGCCGACGUCCCACGGAAAGACUCUGGACCCCAUUGAAAGGGCUUUGAAAUGCUGCUUUUUAGCCGUUGACAAAUUAUAUUCCGUGUCUCGACCUGACCAUGGAAGCCGUGUUGUUCGCGGAGGAGCAAGCGGAGAGAAAAGUGUGUGUUGUCGGCUCGGAGUUGGUGGAAAACUACACGGUCUACGUCAUUGAGGUGACGGAUGGAAACCACAGAUGGACUGUGAAGCAUCGCUAUAGUGACUUUCAUGACCUCCAUGAGAAGUUGACAGCCGAGAACAAUGUAGACCGGCGGCUGCUGCCCCCAAAGAAGAUAUUGGGAAAGAACUCCAAGAGUCUUGUGGAGCGUCGGCAGAAAGAUCUGGAGCUCUACUUGCAGACACUGCUCCAGCAGUUCCCACAAGCCACGCCAACCGCCCUUGCCACCUUUUUGCACUUUCACCUUUACGAGAUCAACGGCAUCACGGCGGCGCUGGCCGUGGAGUUGUUUCAUAAAGGUGAGCAGUUGCUGCAGGCGGGCGAGGUGUUUUCUCUGCGGCCUCUGCAGCUUCAUGCCGUUUCCCAGCAGCUCCGUCUGGCCAAACCGACAUGCUGCAACGGGGAUGCCAAGACCGACCUGGGACACAUCCUGGACUUCACUUGCAGGCUGCGCUACCUCAAGAUCUCAGGGACCGCAGGUCCUGUAGGAACCAGUAACAUCCUGGAGAGCAGUCUUCCUUUUGACCUCUCUUUUUUCAAAUCACUGCUGCAGAUCGAGAUCAGCGAGUGCAGCGCUCAGCAAAUUGAAGGUUUGUCGUCUCUGAGGUCAACUCUGUCCACUUUGAACAUCCACCAUUCCACAGACACCAUGAUGCUGGUCCUUGUCCCGGAGGCGAGUGAGUUCUCACAGUGGAAAGCAGAGGGGGCGGAGUCCGACUGCCCCGUGACCGCCGUUGUUCCCCUGUGGCGAAACCUGACCACGCUGGACAUGAGCCACAACGCCAUCAGCACCAUAGACGACUCAGUGAAACUAAUACCCAAGGUAGAAUUUCUCGAUCUGAGCCACAACCAGCUCUCCUCAGUGGAGAACCUCCAGCACCUGUACAACCUGGUCCACGUGGAUCUGUCCUAUAACAAGCUGUGCAUACUGGAGGCGGCUCACACGCGUCUGGGCAACAUCAAAACUCUCAGUCUGGCCGGAAACCAACUGGACCGACUGACGGGCCUCAGUAAACUCUACUCUCUGGUCGACUUGGACCUCAGCCACAACCAGCUGGCCCAGUUGGAGGAGAUCAAAAACAUCGGCGCGCUGCCAUGUCUGGAGAAACUCAACCUGUCUUCCAACCCCAUGUGCAUUAUCCCCGACUACAGAACCAAAGUCCUGGCCCUGUUUGGAGACCGUGCAGCAGAGGUGUGUCUGGACAGCAACGUGACAACAGAGAAGGAGUUGGACACAGUGGAAGUGUUAAAAGCCAUUCAAAAAGCCAAAGAAGUCAAAGACCGAAUGAGCAGCAGUGAUAAAAAGAUCAGUGAGGAGACCAGGCUGUCUGCUGACGCACUUCCUCGCCUCUCUCCCCCUUCCUCUUCCUCUUGCCGCACCUUUGUUGUCGCCCCUCCCUCUUUCACCUUCUCCUCCAUACCCUCCUUUUCCUGUCAGGCCCGGCAGGCUGCCUGCGCCAGCCAAGAAAUGACAAGCAGAGAAGAAAGCGCCGUUCCGCCCAGUGUUCUCCCCCCCGCACCUCCUCCCAGCACACACCUCACGUCUGCUGACGCCACCCAGGACCGAGAUCCUGCUGGCCUUGUCUCAGAACACGCCCACUGUGAUACAACUGCAACUGUCUGUUGCACGUGCUCCUCUUCCUCAUCCCGACCAGUUGAAGCCACCUGCGGCCGCUGCAGCGCCACCUGGUGUCCUCUGCUCGCCCCUCACCUUCUCUCCUUCACCACCACCAACCAACACUUCACCACUCUGCUUUCCAAGCGCCUCCACGCGGCCUUGAAGGAGCAGCAGAAGGCAAAGAUGGACACGGAGAGGAAGGAGGAGGGGUGUCAAUCCACAGAGGGUUCUUCCUAUGUGGAAGGCACAGAAGUGGGCUCACCAAGUGUAGACUCCAGAGACGGCUACUUUGAGAUGGGACUGGAUGAUUCGUUUCAGGAGACGGACUACCUCUCGUCCACGCCGCUUGCUCCUCUGUCGGACCCUUGUGCUGGGGAUGGGCCAGAAAAGGACGUCCAAGUCAACAGUGUUCUGUGGUGCUACUGUCUCAAGGUGGAAGAGGGGGCGAUGGAGCAGAAGAUAGUAUGCUUGGUGCUGAUGGAAGGGCUACUCGGCUUGCUGCACUCAACACAUGACAUCAAAGACACCAAUCAGGAAGCAGAUGAAGAGCAGUGUCCUUCCACCGAGGAAGUAUUGUCCAGUCUUCAGGUGGACCUUCUUCUGCCUUUCUCCCAGCUCCUGCUCUCCUCACACGCUGAGCUUCCUGGCUCCUGUCUGGCUUUCAGUGUCCAGUGCAGUCCUACUCGCUAUUAUCUCUUCUCCGGAGCCCAGGAGCUCCAGCGAGCCACCACCGAGCUGAAAAGACUGAUGCAGGUAGCAGAGUGUCAGCCUGACUCAGGGGUGCCCAUGACCCCUCAGCUCCUCCCUCGCUCCCUCCUGAACUCAUGGGAGCUGGAGGAGAGUCAGGGAGCCCAGGGAGGCUACCUGACUCUCUUCCUAUCCUCAUCUUCCUCGAUCACCUCACACCCACUUCUGUCAGAUAUUUUGUCCGACACGAAGGGGCCUACCUUCCCCUCUCUCCUCUUCCUCACUCACCGGCACCUGUGGGUGCUCAAGAUGGAGUUCAGAGCGCCAUCUACCUCUUCUGGGUGCAGGCUGGUCCGUGUGCCCCUCGGCUCAGUGGUGCUUCACCCCAACGAGAGACAGUCUCACGUGGGGAAGAGAUCAGGCAGCGACUUCUGCCAGGACCCAAAACACCACCGCAGGCGUAGCCACAUAGUGGAGCUGCUGCUGUGCGGUCAGAGGUUGCUGCUACUUUUCCCGCUGGGCCAAGACAAAAGCUCCUUCCUGGGGGAACUGAGCCAGCGAAGGGGGAGUCUGGAGGGUCUGAAGUUGGUGGCGCUGCCCGCUUCCUGCAGAUGUUGGCCACAUCAUGGAGGCGGAGAUCCCUGCAGAACCAGUGAUCAAUGCUGUUGUACAUGCAGCAGAAAAUCACACAGCACCAAGAGCUCCUCGUGUGUCUCACUGGAAGAGAACCAACCAUCCUCCCACCUCACCCCGGGUCUCUCCCCAGGGCUGAAGCUCCUGGCUGGGCUUGGUGGGGAUCAGCUGCUGACUUACUUCCACAGAUAUAUAGCGCUGUCAGAGGCAGAGGAGGCGAGACAAGUCUUGUGGCUGUCUGUGGUCCUCUACACGUCUCCAGAGACUGAACUCACCUGCUGUCUGUUGCUCUCCACUGAUAGCAUCUACUUCCUGUUGGAAGACUCUGCCGCCACACGCCACUGCCUGCCAGCCAUGGAUGUGACAGAUCCGGAUCCUAAUGUCUGUUUCUGCUGCUGUCUGACUAUCAGACUCUCUGAGCUGCUUUCUGUCAACGUUGGAUUGUUCGAUCAGUACUUCAGGCUCGUGGGUUGUUCAGCCGAGCACAUCGUGUGCUGUCUGAGCAGGGACAGUUAUGGCACCGGGGUCUUUUUGCAGGAACUGAUGUCCGCACUCAGUCUGCGCCAACAGCUUCCUGCUCCCGAGCCCCCAGAGCAGGACUUUUACUCGCAGUUCACCAACACAAGCACAGGUAAGAUGCAUAACUACGAGCUGGUCCACUGCAGCAGGGUGAAGUUCGUCUAUCCCAGCGAGGAGGAGAUGGGAGACUUGACCUUCAUCGUGGCCGAGAGGAAGACCCCGGCGAACACGGCGUCCUCGGCCUCGCGUUCCUUCAACGUGCUGCUGUACCUGCUGGUCUUUCAGGUGCAGAUGUCAAACGACCAGGCCCUCACAGGCUCCUCCUCCUCCUCAUUCCCUAGCUCCGCCCCCUCCCCUGUCCUCCAGCCUCGUACUUUGAUUUUGACCAGUACAGAUGUCUUCCUGUUGGACGAAGACUAUGUCAGCUAUCCUCUUCCGGACUUUGCUAAAGAGCCGCCCUCCAGGGAACGGUACCAGUUGCGUGAAGCUCGGAGGAUCCGGGACUUGGACAGGAUCCUGCUGGGCUACCAAACGUACCCCCAGGCUCUGACCUUGGUGUUUGAUGACCUGCCAGGCCCGGACCUGCUCUGCCACCUGACCAUGGACCACUUUGCCGCCGACGGGGAGGAGCUGCCGCCGACCUGCGGGGGCGGGGGAGCGGAGGGCGAGGUGCAGUGGUGCGUCUUUGUCCCGGGAGCCGACAGCAGGGAGCGACUGAUCUCCCUCCUGGCUCGCCAGUGGGAGGCGCUGUGCAGCCGGGAGCUCCCCGUGGAGCUCACAGGCUGAUUGCGCGUGGCGGCGGGCGCCUCCUCGGCAGGCCAAGGCGCUGUUUCCUCCACACGUGACGAGGAUAAUCACCUCCCUGCUGCUCACAGCUGCAUUCAAAGCUGUCGGGCUCCAUAAUGACCUCUGCGACUAGUCCGCAGAGGAGCUUGUUGCUAUGGCGAUGAGACGCAUCCUCUCUGAAUUUGAGGGAAAGAAACCACUUUAAAUGAAUGCCCUAAACCCACAAACCACUGCCAAGUUUGGAAAGGUGAGUUUGUCUGUCCUGAUCACGUCCUGUGGGAGCAGGAACACACCACUAUCCAUCUUUCCUUUCUUUAGACGUUAUUAGACACCUCCUGUGGAGCUCGUGGUGGCGUGUGACCGCAUCCACACGUUCUAUCCCUUUUUAUCUUUCAGCGAGCACGAGAGGGACUUUGAGAAGAAAAGGAAAUACGUUGUCCAAUCAAGCCACGGCAGGUCGGUUUAAAAGCCACCAGGAGGAAAGACCUUGGCUCCGCCCACCCGCCAAUCGCCACUAUUGUCACACAACACGAGACGGUGACUGCUUUUUUUUCCUUAUGUCUUCAUCAGGUCAUCACACAGACUUUUCUCAGCAAAACUGGAUUUUGAACAGCCUCACCAGGUUUUAAACCUUUAUUUGAAAUGAACAUUUACUCUAUUUUAGCACAAACUGGAUUUGAAAGAAACAAGCUACCGUAUUUUUCGGAGUAUAAGUCGCACCGGCCGAAAAUGCAUAAUAAAGAAGGAAAAAAACAUAUAAGUCGCACUGGAGUAUAAGUCGCAUUUUUUGGGGAAAUGUAUUAGAUAAAAGCCAACAGCAAGAAUAGACAUUUGAAAGGCAAUUUAAAAUAAAUAAAGAAUAGUGAACAACAGGCUGAAUAAGUGUACGUUAUAUGAGGCAUAAAUAACCAACUGGUAUGUUAACGUAACAUAUUAUGGUAAGAGUCAUUCAAAUAACUAUAACAUAUAGAACAUGCUAUACGUUUACCAAACAAUCUGUCACUCCUAAUCGCUAAAUCCCAUGAAAUCUUAUACGUCUAGUCCAGGGGUCGGCAACCUUUACCAGUCAAAGAGCCAUUUUGACCAGUUUCAAAAAUUAUAGAAACGAUGGGAGCCGCAAAAAUGUUAUGAAAUUUUAAAUGAAAUAACACUGCAUACAAUUUUUUAUUUUUUUGCUUUGUCCUAUGUAUAAACCAGGGAUCUCAGACACGCUGCCCACACCUUUAUGUGGAAUUUGAAAGCUGGUGCGGCACGCGGGUUAUAAAUGAAUGACGCUUGUCAGCGUCAUGCGUGCCGUGUUAUUACAGCAUAUAGCGGCCACUACAGCCAGCGUGCCUGAUCAGCUACACGUUGUGUGAGGCUUCCGCUUGCUCACGUAGGUGUGCGAGCAGAAGAUGUAUAUUGUAUAACAAGUGUUGGGCUGGCACGCUGUUAAUACAGAUUGUUGAGGGCGCCAAAUGUUGUAUCAUGGCACGCCCUUAUUAUAGCCAUAAGGGUGAAAAUCGGUGAAUAUUAAUCCCGGGAGUUUUCUGUGAGAGGCACUGAAAUCCGGAAGUCUCACGGGAAAAUUGGGGGGUUCAGCAAGUAAGCUGCUGAGCCGCAUCAGAGUGAUCAAAGAGCCGCGGGUUGCCGACCCCUGGUCUAGUCUCUUACGUGAAUGAAAUACAUAAUAUUAUUUGAUAUUUUACGCUAAUGUGUUAAUCAUUUCACACAUAAGUCGCUCCUGAGUAUAAGUCGCACCCCCGGCCAAACUAUGAAAAAAACUGCGACUUAUAGUCCGAAAAAUACGGUUGUUGCCUAUAGCAACUUACAUUUACAUCCACAGUCUUUAUUUAAAUCAUGUCCAAUUAUAACCAAUAAAUGACCUUCAUACUAUUUACAUCUGCAGCAGUAUUGGUCAAACCAAGAUUAUAACUCAACCUAGAACUGAAAAGUCCAAACUUUUUGACUUGGGGGCAACAUUGGGCUAAAAAAAUGUAGCCCCGGUGGCCAAUUGUACAUAUUAUGUAUACAGUGGUGGUCAAAAGUGUACAUACACUUGUAAA